rnacentral:rRNA from 1 species
ACUCCUACGGGAGGCAGCAGUGGGAAUCUUGGACAAUGGGGCACCGUAGCAUCCAGCCAUGCCGCGUGAGUGAUGAAGGCCCUAGGGUCGUAAAGCUCUUUCGCCUGUGAAGAUAAUGACUGUAGCAGGUAAAGAAACCCGCCGUACAUCCGUGCCAGCAGCCGCGGUAAUACGGAGGGGGUUAGCGUUGUUCGGAAUUACUGGGCGUAAAGCGCGCGUAGGCGGACUGGAAAGUUGGGGUGGAAU